rnacentral:rRNA from 1 species
GAUGAACGCUGACAGAAUGCUUAACACAUGCAAGUCAACUGUGGCGGACGGGUGAGUAACGCGUAAAGAACUUGCCUCACAGAUAGGGACAACAUUUGGAAACGAAUGAUACUACCUGAUACUGUGAGAGAGCUUUGCGUCCCAUUAGCUAGUUGGAGAGGUAACGGCUCACCAAGGCGAUGAUGGGUAGCCGGCCUGAGAGGGUGAUCGGCCACAAGGGGACUGAGACACGGCCCUUACUCCGACGUGAGGCAGCAGUGGGGAAUAUUGGACAAUUGACCAAAGUCUGAUCCAGCAAUUCUGUGUGCACGAUGAAGUUUUCGGAAUGUAAAGUGCUUUCAGUUUGUAAGCGGUACCAACAGAAGAAGUGACGGCUAAAUACGUGCCAGCAGCCGCGGUAAUAC